rnacentral:pre_miRNA from 14 species
CUCAGAGGAGACGUGCCCAGCCGGCGGCCCAGGGCUUAGCUGUAUUGUGAGCACUGUCACUCUCGCACCUGUUCACAGUGGCUAAGUUCCGCGCCUCUCUGGCACACCCUUCCCUCUGGCCA